ACAAGGUCUCCGUUGGUGAACCAGCGGAGGGAUCAUUAUAGAGUUUUCUAAACUCCCAACCCAUGUGAACUUACCUUUUGUUGCCUCGGCAGAAGUUAUAGGUCUUCUUAUAGCUGCUGCCGGUGGACCAUUAAACUCUUGUUAUUUUAUGUAAUCUGAGCGUCUUAUUUUAAUAAGUCAAAACUUUCAACAACGGAUCUCUUGGUUCUGGCAUCGAUGAAGAACGCAGCGAAAUGCGAUAAGUAAUGUGAAUUGCAGAAUUCAGUGAAUCAUCGAAUCUUUGAACGCACAUUGCGCCCAUUAGUAUUCUAGUGGGCAUGCCUGUUCGAGCGUCAUUUCAACCCUUAAGCCUAGCUUAGUGUUGGGAAUCUACUUCUCUUAGGAGUUGUAGUUCCUGAAAUACAACGGCGGAUUUGUAGUAUCCUCUGAGCGUAGUAAUUUUUUUCUCGCUUUUGUUAGGUGCUAUAACUCCCAGCCGCUAAACCCCCAAUUUUUUUGUGGUUGACCUCGGAUCAGGUAGGAAUACCCGCUGAACUUAAGCAUA
rnacentral:rRNA from 1 species